GUCGUAACAAGGUCUCCGUUGGUGAACCAGCGGAGGGAUCAUUACCGAGUUUACAACUCCCAAACCCAAUGUGAACCAUACCAAACUGUUGCCUCGGCGGGGUCACGCCCCGGGUGCGUCGCAGCCCCGGAACCAGGCGCCCGCCGGAGGGACCAACCAAACUCUUUACUGUAGUCCCCUCGCGGACGUUAUUUCUUACAGCUCUGAGCAAAAAUUCAAAUGAAUCAAAACUUUCAACAACGGAUCUCUUGGUUCUGGCAUCGAUGAAGAACGCAGCGAAAUGCGAUAAGUAAUGUGAAUUGCAGAAUUCAGUGAAUCAUCGAAUCUUUGAACGCACAUUGCGCCCGCCAGUAUUCUGGCGGGCAUGCCUGUCCGAGCGUCAUUUCAACCCUCGAACCCCUCCGGGGGGUCGGCGUUGGGGAUCGGGAACCCCUCAGACGGGAUCCCGGCCCCGAAAUACAGUGGCGGUCUCGCCGCAGCCUCUCCUGCGCAGUAGUUUGCACAACUCGCACCGGGAGCGCGGCGCGUCCACGUCCGUAAAACACCCAACUUCUGAAAUGUUGACCUCGGAUCAGGUAGGAAUACCCGCUGAACUUAAGCAUAUC
rnacentral:rRNA from 1 species